AGUAACGCGUGGGUAACCUGCCUCACACAGGGGGAUAACAGUUGGAAACGGCUGCUAAUACCGCAUAAGCGCACAGUACCGCAUGGUACAGUGUGAAAAACUCCGGUGGUGUGAGAUGGACCCGCGUCUGAUUAGCUAGUUGGCAGGGCAACGGCCUACCAAGGCGACGAUCAGUAGCCGACCUGAGAGGGUGACCGGCCACAUUGGGACUGAGACACGGCCCAA
rnacentral:rRNA from 1 species